UAGGGAAUCUUCGGCAAUGGGGGGAACCCUGACCGAGCAACGCCGCGUGAGUGAAGAAGGAUUUCGGAUCGUAAAGCUCUGUUGUUAAGGAAGAACGAGUGUGAGAAUGGAAAGUUCAUACUGUGACGGUACUUAACCAGAAAGGGACGGCUAACUACGUGCCAGCAGCCGCGGUAAUACGUAGGUCCCGAGCGUUGUCCGGAUUUAUUGGGCGUAAAGCGAGCGCAGGCGGUUAGAUAAGUCUGAAGUUAAAGGCAGUGGCUCAACCAUUGUAGGCUUUGGAAACUGUUUAACUUGAGUGCAGAAGGGGAGAGUGGAAUUCCAUGUGUAGCGGUGAAAUGCGUAGAUAUAUGGAGGAACACCGGUGGCGAAAGCGGCUCUCUGGUCUGUAACUGACGCUGAGGCUCGAAAGCGUGGGGAGCGAACAGG
rnacentral:rRNA from 1 species